AACGGGGGGAACGAGCGUUAUUCGUCAUGGAUUGGGCGUAAAGGGUGAGCAGACGGUCUAAAUAGGUUUAUACUAAAGUUCAGGGUUGCCUUUGAAGAGUAUACUUACAUGAGGACUAAGGAUCCAGAAUAAGAAAACGGAACUCUCGGUGUAGAGGUGAAAUUCUGUAAUAUCGCAGGGGACCAUCAUUGGGCGAAAGCGGUUUUCUAGUAUGUGAUUGACGUUCAGUCACUAAAGCGUGGGGAGCAAACGGG
rnacentral:rRNA from 1 species